CCUACGGUGGGCAGCAGUGAGGAAUAUUUGUCAAUGGGCGCGAGCCUGAACCAGCCAAGUAGCGUGAGGGAUGACUGCCCUACGGGUUGUAAACUUCUUUUAUAAGGGAAUAAAGUGAGUCACGUGUGCAUUUUUGAAUGUACUUUAUGAAUAAGGAACGGCUAACUCCGUGCCAUCAGCCGCGGUAAUACGUGGGAUCCGCUCGUUAUCCGGAUUUAUUGGGUUUAAAGGGAGCGUAGAUGGGUUGUUAAGUCAGUUGUGAAAGUCUGCGGCUCAACCGUAAAAUUGCAAUUGAUACUGGCAGCCUUGAGUACAGUUGAGGUAGGCGGAAUUCGUGGUGUAGCGGUGAAAUGCUUAGAUAUCACGAAGAACUCCGAUUGCGAAGGCAGCCUACUAAACUGCCACUGACAUUGAUGCUCGAAAGUGUGGGUAGCAAACAGGAUUAGAUACCCUGGUAGUC
rnacentral:rRNA from 1 species